rnacentral:rRNA from 1 species
ACGUAGGGUGCGAGCGUUGUCCGGAAUUAUUGGGCGUAAAGAGCUUGUAGGCGGUUUGUUGCGUCGGAAGUGAAAACUCAGGGCUUAACCCUGAGCCUGCUUUCGAUACGGGCAGACUUGAGGGAUGUAGGGGAGAACGGAAUUCCUGGUGGAGCGGUGGAAUGCGCAGAUAUCAGGAGGAACACCAGUGGCGAAGGCGGUUCUCUGGACAUUUCCUGACGCUGAGAAGCGAAAGCGUGGGGAGCAAACAGGCUUAGAUACCCUGGUAGUCCACGCCGUAAACGGUGGGCACUAGGUGUGGGUUCCAUUCCACGGAAUCCGUGCCGAAGCUAACGCAUUAAGUGCCCCGCCUGGGGAGUACGGCCGCAAGGCUA